rnacentral:rRNA from 1 species
AGUGGCGGACGGGUGAGUAACGCGUGAGAAUCUGCCUUGGGGUCGGGGACAACCACUGGAAACGGUGGCUAAUACCGGAUACGCCUUCGGGUAAAAGAUUUAUUGCCCUAAGAGGAGCUCGCGUCUGAUUAGCUAGUUGGUGAGGUAAGAGCUCACCAAGGCAGCGAUCAGUAGCUGGUCUGAGAGGACGAUCAGCCACACUGGGACUGAGACACGGCCCAGACUCCUACGGGAGGCAGCAGUGGGGAAUUUUCCGCAAUGGGCGAAAGCCUGACGGAGCAAGACCGCGUGAGGGAGGAAGGCUCUUGGGUUGUAAACCUCUUUUCUCAGGGAAGAAGAUCUGACGGUACCUGAGGAAUUAGCCUCGGCUAACUCCGUGCCAGCAGCCGCGGUAAUACGGAGGAGGCAAGCGUUAUCCGGAAUUAUUGGGCGUAAAGCGUCCGCAGGUGGCGAUUCAAGUCUGCUGUCAAAGCACGGGGCUUAACUCCGUAAAGGCAGUGGAAACUGAAUAGCUAGAGUGCCGUAGGGGUAGAGGGAAUUCCCGGUGUAGCGGUGAAAUGCGUAGAGAUCGGGAAGAACAUCGGUGGCGAAAGCGCUCUACUGGACGGCAACCGACACUCAGGGACGAAAGCUAGGGGAGCGAAUGGGAUUAGAUACCCC